rnacentral:rRNA from 1 species
AACGAACGCUGGCGGCAUGCCUAACACAUGCAAGUCGAACGAGCCCUUCGGGUCUAGUGGCGCACGGGUGCGUAACGCGUGGGAACCUGCCCUUAGGUUCGGACUAACUCCCCGAAAGGGGUGCUAAUACCGGAUAAUGUCUUCGGACCAAAGAUUUAUCGCCUUUGGUUGGGCCCGCGUUGGAUUAGCUUGUUGGUAGGGUAAAAGCCUACCAAGGCGACGAUCCAUAGCUGGUCUGAGAGGAUGAUCAGCCACACUGGGACUGAGACACGGCCCAGACUCCUACGGGAGGCAGCAGUGGGGAAUAGUGGACAAUGGGCGGAAGCCUGAUCCAGCAAUGCCGCGUGAGUGAUGAAGGCCUUAGGGUUGUAAUGCGCUUUUACCCGUGAUGAUAAUGACAGUACCGGGAGAAUAAGCUCCGGCUAACUCCGUG